rnacentral:tRNA from 1 species
UGGGUUGUGGCUCAGUAGGCAGAGCACUUGUCUAGCAAACAUAAAGCCCUGGGUCCCACCUCCAGCGCUCCAU